rnacentral:rRNA from 1 species
GAUGAACGCUGGCGGCGUGCCUAAUACAUGCAAGUCGAGCGAACAGAUAAGGAGCUUGCUCCUUUGACGUUAGCGGCGGACGGGUGAGUAACACGUGGAUAACCUACCUAUAAGACUGGGAUAACUUCGGGAAACCGGAGCUAAUACCGGAUAACAUAUUGAACCGCAUGGUUCAAUAGUGAAAGGCGGCUUUGCUGUCA